rnacentral:rRNA from 1 species
CCUACGGGUGGCAGCAGUGAGGAAUAUUGGUCAAUGGACGAGAGUCUGAACCAGCAAAGUAGCGUGAAGGAUGACUGCCCUAUGGGUUGUAAACUUCUUUUAUAUGGGAAUAAAACGUUCCACGUGUGGGAUUUUGUAUGUACCAUAUGAAUAAGGAUCGGCUAACUCCGUGCCAGCAGCCGCGGUAAUACGGAGGAUCCGAGCGUUAUCCGGAUUUAUUGGGUUUAAUGGGAGCGUAGGUGGAUUGUUAAGUCAGUUGUGAAAGUUUGCGGCUCAACCGUAAAAUUGCAGUUGAAACUGGCAGUCUUGAGUACAGUAGAGGUAGGCGGAAUUCGUGGUGUAGCGGUGAAAUGCUUAGAUAUCACGAAGAACUCCGAUUGUGAAGGCAGUUCACUGGACUGCAACUGACACUGAGGCUCGAAAGUGUGGGUAUCAAACAGGAUUAGAUACCCCUGUAGUC